ACUACCAUUGGCACAUCUAGCCAUCCAUUACUACCACUACCCUCUGCAUUGGCACAUCUAGCCAUCCAUUACUACCACUACCCUCUGCAUUGGCACAUCUAGCCAUCCAUUACUACCACUACCCCCUCCCUACCUGACUACUCACACUAGCCAUCGUCUCUGUGACUACGUUAUGAGGGAUAAACAACGAGGGGCUGGGAGUUCUGUGGAAAUAACGAGCCCUUCGUCGUCUAUCCUUUACUUUCUUAAAGUUUUAUAUAUAUAUAUAUAUAUAUAUAUAUAUAUAUAGAGGAUUCUCAUUAUACAUAUUUCUAGCCACUCUGUACUGAUAACUGAAAUUAAAUGUUAAAUUAAAUUAUCAGAAAUUAAAACGGCACAUGAUUUCACUUGUCAGAGAGCAACAACAAACAAAAACAUCUUUCAGGUGUUUUAAGUGUCCAGUUGCAUCAUCAUUGAGCAGCAGGGUGGCGGCAGGGUAGCCUAGUGGUUAGAGUGUAGGGGCGGCAGGGUAGCCUAGUGGUUAGAGUGUAGAGGAGGUAGGUAGCCUAGUGGUUAGAGUGUAGGGGGGGUAGGUAGCCUAGUGGUUAGAGUGUAGAGGAGGUAGGUAGCCUAGUGGUUAGAGUUUAGAGGAGGCAGGUAGCCUAGUGGUUAGAGUGUAGGGGCGGUAGGUAGCCUAGUGGUUAGAGCGUAGAGGCGGCAGGGUAGCCUAGUGGUUAGAGCGUAGAGGCGGCAGGGUAGCCUAGUGGUUAGAGCGUAGAGUUGGCAGGGUAGCCUAGUGGUUAGAGCGUAGAGACAGCAGGGUAGCCUAGUGGUUAGAGCGUUGGACUAGUAACCGGAAGGUUGCAAGCUCAAACCCCCGAAGAGACAAGGUACAAAUCUGUCGUUCUACCCCUGAACAGGCAGUUAACCCACUGUUCCUAGACCAGUUAACCCACUGUUCCUAGGCUGUCACUGGAAAUACGAUUUUGUUCUUAACUGACUUGCCUCGUUAAAUAAAGGUAAAAUGAAAACAAUUGUUUUAGGAUUAAGUUGGUUUAUCGUUGGUUAACUUUCUCAGCGGUUCUUUGGUCAGUUUCAGUUAAUCUGUACUUUGGGGCUUCUAUGAGCUAAAUGUACAAUACACUAGUCACACAAAACAAAGCCACCAAGAUAAACAUUUUGACUAGUCAGGAAUUUCCCUGCAUUCAAGAAGAAAAAGUUUGCUUAAUUUAGAUCAACAACUUUCCAUGUUCUUCGCAGCCAGGAUCCAGGAUGGUUGAGUGACUUGGAUUCUCAUUCUAUUAAAGCAUGCAAACAGACACAGUCAGAGACACAGGCACACAGUCAGAGACAGGCAGCCAGACAGUCAGAGACAUAGGCACACAGUCAGAGACACAGGAAGACAGUCAGAGACACAAGCACACAGUCAGAGACAGUCAGGCACACAGUCAGAGACAUAGGCACACAGUCAGAGACAUAGGCAGACAGUCAGAGACAUAGGCAGACAGUCAGAGACACAGGCACACAGUCAGAGACAUAGGCACACAGUCAGAGACAGGCAGCCAGACAGUCAGAGACAUAGGCAGACAGUCAGAGAGCCAGGCAGACAGUCAGAGACAUAGGCAGACAGUCAGAGACAUAGGCAGACAGUCAGAGACACAGGCACACAGUCAGAGACACAGGCAGACAGUCAGAGACAUAGGCACACAGUCAGAGACACAGGCACACAGUCAGAGACAGGCAGCCAGACAGUCAGAGACAUAGGCACACAGUCAGAGACACAGGAAGACAGUCAGAGACACAAGCACACAGUCAGAGACAGUCAGGCACACAGUGAGAGCCAUAGGCAGACAGUCAGAGACAGGCAGCCAGACAGUCAGAGACAUAGGCAGACAGUCAGAGACAUAGGCAGACAGUCAGAGACAUAGGCAGACAGUCAGAGACAGGCAGCCAGUCAGAGACAUAGGCACACAGUCAGAGACAUAGGCAGACAGUCAGAGACAUAGGCAGGCAGUCAGAGACAGGCAGCCAGACAGUCAGAGACAUAGGCAGACAGUCAGAGACAUAGGCAGACAGUCAGAGACAUAGGCAGACAGUCAGAGACAGGCAGCCAGUCAGAGACAUAGGCACACAGUCAGAGACAUAGGCACGCAGUCAGAGACAGGCAGACAGUCAGAGACAUAGGCACACAGUCAGAGACAUAGGCACGCAGUCAGAGACAGACAGACAGUCAGAGACAGGCAGACAGUCAGAGACAGGCAGAUAAAUUGUAGAGUAGUAGCAGUGGAUCCAACAACAAUUCUAAAGCCUAUAUAACGUGGCAGUUGAAAGGGUUGGUUGUGUAUUUUGUCCUUAUGUGACCCUGGGUUACAGCCAAGCCUCUUCAAGCUCUCAGAACCACAUCAGCCCUUUCACUUUCAACAUCUGCUGUUGGCAGAUGAUUUAGAUCUGUUGACGCCACCACUGCCAUGUUGACUUGGGGGGGCAUCUAUAUAUCCUUGUGUCCUUGAGAAGGAUGUGCUGGUUAAUGGUUAGACUGUGGUUGAAACUAGAGGCAAGCAAACAGAACAGAAGCUGUUAAAGCCCUCAGGGUGAACCGGUCUUAUGAUUAUGUCCUGUAGGGUGGCAG